AGAGUUUGAUCAUGGCUCAGAACGAACGCUGGCGGCAGGCUUAACACAUGCAAGUCGAACGAACGUAGCAAUACGUUAGUGGCGCACGGGUGAGUAACGCGUGGAUAUCUGCCUUUUGGUUCGGGAUAACCUUGGGAAACUAGGGCUAAUACCGAAUGGUUCCUACGGGACAAAGAUUUAUCGCCAAAAGAUGAGUCCGCGUCCGAUUAGCUAGUUGGUGGGGUAAUGGCCCACCAAGGCGACGAUCGGUAGCUGGUCUGAGAGGACGAUCAGCCACACUGGGACUGAGACACGGCCCAGACUCCUACGGGAGGCAGCAGUGGGGAAUAUUGGACAAUGGGGGCAACCCUGAUCCAGCCAUGCCGCGUGAGUGAUGAAGGCCUUCGGGUUGUAAAGCUCUUUUGGCGGGGACGAUGAUGACGGUACCCACAGAAUAAGCCCCGGCUAACUUCGUGCCAGCAGCCGCGGUAAGACGAAGGGGGCUAGCGUUGUUCGGAAUUACUGGGCGUAAAGCGUGUGUAGGUGGUUGUCAUAGUCAGGCGUGAAAGCCUUGAGCUCAACUCAAGAAAUGCACUUGAUACUGGGCAGCUAGAGGACCGGAGAGGAUAGUGGAAUUCCCAGUGUAGUGGUGAAAUACGUAGAGAUUGGGAAGAACACCAGUGGCGAAGGCGGCUAUCUGGACGGUUUCUGACACUAAGACACGAAAGCGUGGGGAGCAAACAGGAUUAGAUACCCCUGGUAGUCCACGCCGUAAACGAUGGGUGCUAGACGUUGGCGGGCUUGCCCGUCAGUGUCGCAGCUAACGCGUUAAGCACCCCGCCUGGGGAGUACGGCCGCAAGGUUAAAACUCAAAGGAAUUGACGG
rnacentral:rRNA from 1 species